rnacentral:snRNA from 11 species
AGCUUUGCGCAGUGGCAGUAUCGUAGCCAAUGAGGUUUAUCCGAGGCGCGAUUAUUGCUAAUAGAAUAGCUCAUGGAU